UGGGGAAUUUUGGACAAUGGGCGCAAGCCUGAUCCAGCCAUGCCGCGUGCGUGAAGAAGGCCUUCGGGUUGUAAACCUCUUUUGUCAGGGAAGAAACGGUCUUGGCUAAUACGUUGGACUAAUGACGGUACCUGAAGAAUAAGCACCGGCUAACUACGUGCCAGCAGCCGCGGUAAUACGUAGGGUGCAAGCGUUAAUCGGAAUUACUGGGCGUAAAGCGUGCGCAGGCGGUUGUAUAAGACAGAUGUGAAAUCCCCGGGCUCAACCUGGGAAUUGCAUUUGUGACUGGACAGCUAGAGUAUGUUAGAGGGGGAUAGAAUUCCACGUGUAGCAGUGAAAUGCGUAGAUAUGUGGAGGAAUACCGAUGGCGAAGGCAGCCCCCUGGGAUUGCACUGGCGCUCAUGCACGAAAGCGUGGGGAGCAAACA
rnacentral:rRNA from 1 species